rnacentral:rRNA from 1 species
UACGUAGGGGGCAAGCGUUGUCCGGAUUUAUUGGGCGUACAGAGCGUGUAGGCGGUCUGACAGGUCCGUUGUGAAAACUCGAGGCUCAACCUCGAGAUGUCGAUGGAAACCGUCUGGCUAGAGUCCGGAAGAGGAGUGUGGAAUUCCUGGUGUAGCGGUGAAAUGCGCAGAUAUCAGGAAGAACACCUAUGGCGAAGGCAGCACUCUGGGACGGUACUGACGCUGAGACGCGAAAGCGUGGGGAGCGAACAGG